UACGUAGGGGGCAAGCGUUGUCCGGAAUCAUUGGGCGUAAAGCGCGUGUAGGCGGCUCGGUAAGUCCGCUCUGAAAGCCUGGGGCUCAACCCCAGGAGGCGGGUGGAUACUGCCGGGCUCGAGUCCGGAAGAGGCGAGUGGAAUUCCCGGUGUAGCGGUGAAUGCGCAGAUAUCGGGAGGAACACCAAUGGCGAAGGCAGCUCGCUGGGACGGUACUGACGCUGAGACGCGAAAGCGUGGGGAGCAAACAGG
rnacentral:rRNA from 1 species